GGAGGCAAAGAAUAUAUGUUUGUGGAUGUAUAUGAACUGUUAGUGAAAUACCACUCUGAUUAAACUAGAAUUCUAAUAUUGACUGCCWUAAGCUGGCCAAUAAACAGUUUCRGGUGGGCAGUUUGACUGGGGCGGUCGCCUCCUAAAAGGUAACGGAGGCCUGCAAAGGUUUCCUCAGGCUGGUCGGAAUUCAGUCGUAGAGUAUAAGGGCAUAAGGGAGCUUGACUGCAAGACCUACAAGUCGAGCAGAGACAAAAGUCGGCCUUAGUGAUCCGACAGUACUGAGUGRAARGGCUGYCGCUCAACGGAUAAAAGUUACUCUAGG
rnacentral:rRNA from 1 species